GCAAAUUUCUGAUUUUGAAAAAGCGCAUUGCGUCUUCUACACCCAUUUUUUGUCCCCAAAAGUCAUUUUCCCCUCAAAUCUUUCCUUCCCUCUCUCUCUCUCUCUCUCUCUCUCUCUCCAUCUCUUCUCCUCAACCCCACCGAGAACCCGCCAUCGUCGACAACUCACGAGCCCGCCACUCCACUGUGCUACCACAUAGCAGGAACAAAAAGCAUUUCCCCCAAAAUUUCCCCCCACAGGCCACCGGCUCUCUCCCCCAUUGUCCGAUCGCUGCCCACCAAAUGGCCCAAAAGCACCGUCGACCACUGCCUACGUCCAUCUCCAUCUCCGGCCACUAGGUACCACCAGGCACCAUCUCCGACGACCCAUACCCAUCUCGGUCUCCCUCCACGACGACCCAUUUCCAUCUCUUCCCACCAAACAGAUCAGAAUCUCAAUUCCCUCCAGGACAACCCAUCCCCAUCUCUUCCUACCGUACAGAUUCAACGAGCCCAGCUGAACUACCAUCACCGUCGACGAGCCUAGCCAUCAAAUGAGGAAUAGAUGAAGCUUCGCAUAAAUGUGAUGAAGAUGCUCUACCUUUUGCAAACUGGGUGUCCGUGUGCUGCUGUAUAUUAUGCUACUUUAGAGUAUAAGCAGUUCCUUGUGUGCUGCUGUGUAUUAUGCUACUUUAGAGUAUAAGCAGUUCCUUGUGUCCUAAAGCAUGCGGAUGUGGGUUGGAUUGAACCAGUAUUCCUCCAAUAGUGGUCAAAGAAGUACAAUCGUGUGGUGAAGGGCGUGACCCAGUAGGGUUAUCUUCUCUUUGGCCAUUUGCCUUUAAUUCCUAUUAAGGAGAUAUCCAGGUCAAUUAGGAAGGGAGAGCCUGGAAAGGAAGGAGAUGAAUGUAGGUUGCGAUUGUGGACACUCUUCCGACCCAUUUACUUCCUAGAGUGUGAUUGUAUGUAACAAUACUAUUAUGUAAAGGGCACAAAAACCAAAUAUUCUCAACAAUUUCAUCUUAUAGCUCUUGGAUGUA